rnacentral:rRNA from 1 species
ACAGCAGCAACCGCGGGAAUACGUAGGUGGCUAGCGUUGUCCGGAAUUAUUGGGCGUAAAGGGCUCGCAGGCGGUUUCUUAAGUCUGAUGUGAAAGCCCCCGGCUCAACCGGGGAGGGUCAUUGGAAACUGGGAAACUUGAGUGCAGAAGAGGAGAGUGGAAUUCCACGUGUAGCGGUGAAAUGCGUAGAGAUGUGGAGGAACACCAGUGGCGAAGGCGACUCUCUGGUCUGUAACUGACGCUGAGGAGCGAAAGCGUGGGGAGCGAACAGGAUUAGAUACCCGCGUAGUCCCUGUCUCUUAUAC